UUCUCAGGUGCUCACUUAAUUGCUGAGCUUGGCCCACGUGUGCUCCACCGACUCUUAACCCCUUUAUAAAUCCGGACUAGCUCACUUUCCCAAUUCAUUUCUCAUUCAACCCUAAUCUACUCCAUCGCCACAUAUUCUCCAAUUCAUUUCUAAUUCAACGAUAAUCUACUCCAUCGCCGCUUAUUCAUCAUAGAUCGAUACAUUAGCACGGGCGAUUCCCCACUACUAUAUUGAAAAAUGGUGAUCUACAUAUGCAAAAAUUGGUAAACCUAUAACUUGCUGACUUCUUUUGUGAAAGUAUAAAAUCCCAGUUCACAUUUUAUGCCCAGAGAGCCACACAAAUCAAUCAAUUUUGAGUCAUUUUCAUGUUACACCAAGGAUUAUAAGGCCAGCAGAGAUGCUUCCUCACAUUGCAGAAUCACUCUUACUAAACCCAGGUAGUUGAUUCUUUAGGGUCCACAAUUAUUGUUUCCUACUUCACCCAAAUGGAAACUGAAGCAGAGUAUUCUUUAGGGAUUUUUCAGGACCCAAUUGUUUCCAGUGAAACCCAGAUGGAAAAUGCUCAAUCUUCAGCAAUCUUGCCUACCCUUCCAUCUGAACUCAUCAAUGAGAUCCUCCUAAGGCUUCCCGUAAAAACCCUCUUGAGAUUCAGGUCUGUUUCAAAAUCUUGGCUUGCUUUAAUAUCUAGCCCUCAAUUUAUCAACACCCAUCUCAGUUUAUCAGCUAAUAACAAGGAUUACACCCACCACAGGCUUAUCUUAAGUCUUUCUCGACCUAACAUAAAAAAUCUUAACGUCUGUUCAGUUAGGUCUUUACUUAAUGAGUCUGUCGUAGAACCAUCUGGUUUGGAUUGUCCCCUGAAAGACAAAUUUCAGAUUUUGGAUUCAGUCAAUGGGUUGAUUUGUUUUAUGGUUGGGGUAGAAGCAUUUUUUAUAUGGAAUCCAUCUAUCAGGAAGUUCAAGAAAGUUACUGCAGAAGCUGUACCGAGGUAUGGUCAGAAAGUGUUUGGUUUUGGAUAUGAUGAACUUCAGGAUGAUUAUAAAAUACUGCGUAUGUAUAUGACUACUAGCUAUGAACUUAAGGUCGAACUAUAUAGCUUAAAGAGUGACUCUUGGAGAAUAGUUGAUGAUUUUCCGGCUGGGAGGAGACAAUCUGGUUUGGCUAAGUUGGUCAAUGGGAAGCUUCAUUGGGUUAAUUUUGAUAGUCAUCCUUGGGGUAAUGAGGGGGACAUCAUUUCUUUUGAUUUGGCUGAUGAGAAAUGGGGAAAGUUGGAGAAGCCUUGCUAUAGAAAAAUAGAUUUUUGUAAUAAACUUGGAGUGUUGGGAAGUGAUCUUUGCAUGUUUAAUGACUAUGAGAACACUUUCGCGGAUGUGUGGGUUAUGAAGGAAUAUGGAGUCAAAGAGUCUUGGGCAAAAAUAUAUACCAUCAACUUUUCUCAUGAUGUUUCUAAGUAUUGUUGGUCUCCUCUUUUUUGCAAGUCAAAUGAAGGUGAAGUUCUGCUUGUGUAUGGAUCAAGAUUUAUGAUAUACAGUCCAAAGGAUGACUCGAUCAGGUAUCUAGAGCUCGCCAACUUUAAAUUCGGUUUUGAUGCGAACUUCUACGUUGAGAGCCUAGUUUGUCCUUUUGCAAACAAUCCAAGGACACAACAAUGAAGGCGCCAAGCACUCAGGUGAAUCACAAUUUGUAGCUAAUUACUUGUGAGAAUUCAGAAGUCAUUCUAUGCAACAAUAGUGGAGCAGCAAAGUGGAAUUUCAUUUUAUACUUAGUUAUUCUAGGCAGAUUAUACACAAAGGAUAUACUGAUGAAAUGAGGGCUGAUCAGUGAGAUGUUGCGUCCUCUGUGUGAAAAUGUGGGUGAAAGCAUGACCACUUGUUUUUCCUAUGUGACGACUCAAUUGUUGUAUGGGGUAAGCUGCUAACUUGGCAGGGAUAUAAUAGGAGCUGCAGGAGAUGAACAAAAGAGCUUGCAUAGAUGCUGUCAAGUGUCAAAUACCAAUGGUAGGACUGUUGCUCAGGAGAUGUUAAGAAUAGUCCUCUCUUGCUGCCUAUACACCUUGUGGCAAGAGAGGAGCCAGAGUGUGUUCCAACUUAAAAGUCGACCUCAGGAUGUCUAAUCAGGAAGAUCAUAUAGGAUGCUGUUGUUCGUGCCAGUUUGAAGCCUAGAUUAGCUAGAAGAGUUCAAGAACAUGAUUUCAACCAUUAGCUUUCUCUUUGUUGCUACUGAUGCAAUAGUAUUAGUUGUUGCCUUUUGAUCACUGAAACUGGGGACUAUGUCCUGGUUUUAGAAUCUUUAUGACUUGUACAGAAUUUCUCAGUUGGUAAAUAAUACAUUUAGUUGCCAAAAAAGACUUGUGAGAGUUCCACUUCAGUUGGUACUGAAACUGAGCUUGUCUAUUUGCUUAAACAAGUGAAGCAGUUCCUAAUGAAAGUAAUGUUUGCUACAUGUUAAAACACAGACUAUGAGUUAGGACAACCCAGCAUGUGGUGCUUCUAAAUCGAUCGUGCUUUAACUUAUCUUGUCAUGUAUCAGUCGGGUGCUUUGUUAACUGAUAUGUACUAAUGAGCUUUCAGAAAUAUAAUUGUGCAUGUUAUUUUGUGAGCAAUAGUAACUGAUUGAGGUUUGAGGUCAAGGUUUGCCCUGGUAAACGGUUGAACAAGCUUCUCCUUCCCUUGAAUGUCUGUUGUAUGUAGUAGUGUCUGCUUGGAGUUGGUCUGAGCUAGAAGUUAUAAUAAUUUCUUGAAGUGGAAGUUUCAUUCCAUUUGUCAUAGAAAAAUAAAAUAAAAUAAAGUGAAGGGUAUCCAGUAAACAUAGCAAAAAGGAAGGGGACAAAUUGAGGCUCCACAAAAAUCCAUCUUUUUCCAUUUUUGCAUAAUUCCAUGAAAUAACAAUUAGUCGCAAUAACAGUUAUUUGGUGUUACCGUUGAAAAUUGUUACGCUUGCAUAUGAUGGAGCAAAUUGAGGCUCAACAGAAAUCCUUCUUUUUCCGUUUUUGCAUAAUUCCAUGAAACAACAAUUAGUCGCAAUAACAGUUAUUUGGUGUUACCAUUGAAAAUUGUUACGCUUGCAUAUGAUGGAGUAUUCUGGGGCAAAGGCAUCAGUAGCCAAUGAUGUCCAAGACGCCCACGGAUACAAGUUCCUUUCUACUAGUUCCGGUCAUUCACAGGAAGUUGUUCAAAGUGUGUUCUCACAGAAUGUUCAAAAUGAUUGCAAUGCUAUGGAUGUGAACCAAAGUCAUUUGGAAGUAGAUGGGAAAAACGCUCCUGUUGAAUCGGCUACUUCGAAAGAGUUUCCUCCAUCUCCAUCUGACAAUUAAAGCAUUUUGGCCUCCUUGUCGUCCCGAUGUGUUCGGAAAGGAACUGUCUGUGAAAGAUCUCAUCUCUUUCGGAUUAAACCAUUGGGUCGUUUUCUCCAAGCUAUGAUGAUAUCUGACUGGAAAACAUUGAUGCCUUUAGUUGAGUAUAUUUUGCAAUACUCAUUUUGGAACUUUUGCAGCUUCGGGAAGAUGGUUACUUGCUUUCACAAUGCAUCCAUUGAUGUUUACUCAGUAUGCCUUUCUCCCUCAAAACUGGAUUUCGUUGCCUUCCUCACUCAGUAUGUGUUGUCAUUUGGAGUCAAGAGUUGUGGUACGAUUGUAACUUAUUCUCCACAUUAUGAACUGAUCUAUGGGAUUUUAGGUGGCCAAAAAAGCAGAGUUGCAUUUGCAAACAUAACUUUCAAGAAGCCUCACAUAUUGUUUCUUGAUGAGCUAUCAGAUCACUUGGAUCUGGACGCUGUGGAGGCCCUGACACAAGGUCUUGUCUUGUUCCAAAGAGGCGUACUGAUGGUUAGUCAUGACGAGCAUUUAACAUCUGGUACUGUUGAUCAACUCUGGCCGUCUCUGAGGGCAGGGUGAUGCCUUUCGAUAGGACAUUCCAUGAUUACAAGAAACUACUGCAAUCUUCAUAAACAGCUAAUUACAAAGGUUGAUUAUUUCUGAAGUGGACGAACUACUAUUAGUUACUUCAUGGUCUAAAACCCCUACUGUAUAGGCAUGAAAAUGACACUUUUUACUGUAUGCAACAGAUGGAGGCAGAAAAGCAGUGAUGCGUUUAAGUUUUUCAAACAAUCCUCAUUUUGCUGUUUUGAUAGAAGUGAUCAUAGUUAGUCAUUUGUCAAUGUGAAUCUUUUUAUCGUUUUAUUUUUCCUUUUAUAAAAACCAAAGACUUAACUUCUAUUUUCAGAUGUGGGGAUUUUCAUUCGACUAUAUGUACCGGAACUUAUAAAGUGCAAAUUCUUUUCAUCUUCUCAAGAGAUGAAUAGCCUUGUUUAAUACACAUAUAUUAAGGAGA